CCUACGGGUGGCAGCAGUAGGGAAUAUUGCUCAAUGGGCGAAACCCUGAAGCAGCAACGCCGCGUGAGGGAUGAAGGUUUUCGGAUUGUAAACCCCUUUUGUUAGGGAAGAUAAUGACGGUAUCUAACGAAUAAGCACCUGCUAACUCCGAACCAGCAGCCGCGGGAAUACUGAGGGUGCAAGCGUUACUCGGAAUCACUGGGCGUAAAGCGCGCGUAGGCGGGAUAGCAAGUCAGAUGUGAAAUCCCAGGGCUUAACCAUAGAACUGCAUUUGAAACUGGUAUUCUAGAGUAUGGGAGAGGUAGGUGGAAUUCUUGGUGUAGGGGUAAAAUCCGUAGAGAUCAAGAGGAAUACUCAUUGCGAAGGCGACCUGCUAGAACAUAACUGACGCUGAUGCGCGAAAGCGUGGGAAGCAAACAGGAUUAGAUACCCGUGUAGUC
rnacentral:rRNA from 1 species